GCGCGCCCCGGGCGGGGCGGGGGCACGGGGGGAACGCGAAGAUCCUUACCUGGGCUUGACAUGUCCGGAAUUCUGCAGAGAUGCGGAAGUGCCCUUCGGGGAAUCGGAACACAGGUGCUGCAUGGCUGUCGUCGGCUCGUGUCGUGAGAUGUUGGGUUAAGUCCCGCAACGAGCGCAACCCUUGUCCUUAGUUGCCAGCGGUUCGGCCGGGCACUCUAGGGAGACUGCCGGUGACAAACCGGAGGAAGGUGGGGAUGACGUCAAGUCCUCAUGGCCUUUAUGUCCAGGGCUACACACGUGCUACAAUGGCGCGUACAGAGGGUAAGCCAAGCCGCGAGGUGGAGCAGACCCCAGUAAGCGCGUCGUAGUUCGGAUUGCAGUCUGCAACUCGACUGCAUGAAGUCGGAAUCGCUAGUAAUCGCGGAUCAGCAUGCCGCGGUGAAUACGUUCCCGGGCCUUGUACACACCGACACACC
rnacentral:rRNA from 1 species